CUCCAACUUCUGUGUCCAAAGUGUGUGCU
rnacentral:piRNA from 1 species